rnacentral:rRNA from 1 species
AGGACGAACGCUGGCGGCGUGCUUAACACAUGCAAGUCGAACGAGAAUCAUAGGAAGGAGAUUUCGGGUCAACGGACUAUGAGGACAGUGGCGGACGGGUGAGUAACGCGUGAGGAACCUGCCUUUCAGAGGGGGACAACAGUUGGAAACGACUGCUAAUACCGCAUAAUGCAUAGGAGCCGCAUGACUCCUAUGCCAAAGAUUUAUCGCUGAAAGAUGGCCUCGCGUCUGAUUAGCUGGUUGGCGGGGUAACGGCCCACCAAGGCGACGAUCAGUAGCCGGCCUGAGAGGGUGAACGGCCACAUUGGGACUGAGACACGGCCCAAACUCCUACGGGAGGCAGCAGUGGGGAAUAUUGCACAAUGGGGGAAACCCUGAUGCAGCGACGCCGCGUGAGUGAAGAAGUAUUUCGGUAUGUAAAGCUCUAUCAGCAGGAAAGAAAAUGACGGUACCUGACUAAGAAGCCCCGGCUAACUACGUG